GACGAACGCUGGCGGCGUGCUUAACACAUGCAAGUCGAACGGAAAGGCCCUGCUUUUGUGGGGUGCUCGAGUGGCGAACGGGUGAGUAACACGUGAGUAACCUGCCCUUGACUUUGGGAUAACUUCAGGAAACUGGGGCUAAUACCGGAUAGGAGCUCCUGCUGCAUGGUGGGGGUUGGAAAGUUUCGGCGGUUGGGGAUGGACUCGCGGCUUAUCAGCUUGUUGGUGGGGUAGUGGCUUACCAAGGCUUUGACGGGUGGCCGGCCUGAGAGGGUGACCGGCACCAUUGGACCUGGGAUCCGCCCAGGACCCUUCGGGGGGCCAGAGUUGGGGAUUAUGCACCAAUGGGCGGAACCUUGAGCAACAACCCCCGCUUGCGGGAUACCGGCCUUCGGGUUGUAACCCGCUUUGGCUUGUACCGAGGCGUGGUUGCCGGUAUUGGGUAAGGAAGCCCCGCCUACUUCCUG
rnacentral:rRNA from 1 species